rnacentral:rRNA from 1 species
GCAGUCGAACGGACUCAUAUUGAAACCUAGUGAUUUAUGAGUUAGUGGCGGACGGGUGAGUAACGCGUGGAAAACCUGCCGUAUACCGGGGGAUAACACUUAGAAAUAGGUGCUAAUACCGCAUAAGCGCACAGCUUCGCAUGAAGCAGUGUGAAAAACUCCGGUGGUAUACGAUGGUUCCGCGUCUGAUUAGCUAGUUGGCGGGGUAACGGCCCACCAAGGCAGCGAUCAGUAGCCGGCCUGAGAGGGUGAACGGCCACAUUGGGACUGAGACACGGCCCAAACUCCUACGGGAGGCAGCAGUGGGGAAUAUUGCACAAUGGGGGAAACCCUGAUGCAGCGACGCCGCGUGAGUGAAGAAGUAUUUCGGUACGUAAAGCUCUAUCAGCGGGGAAGAAAAUGACGGUACCUGACUAAGAAGCCCCGGCUAACUACGUGCCAGCAGCCGCGGUAAUACGUAGGGGGCAAGCGUUAUCCGGAUUUACUGGGUGUAAAGGGAGCGUAGACGGCAGCGCAAGUCUGGAGUGAAAUGCCGGGGCCCAACCCCGGAACUGCUUUGGAAACUGUGCAGCUUGAGUGCGGGAGAGGUAAGUGGAAUUCCUAGUGUAGCGGUGAAAUGCGUAGAUAUUAGGAGGAACACCAGUGGCGAAGGCGGCUUACUGGACCGUAACUGACGU